rnacentral:rRNA from 1 species
CCUACGGGAGGCAGCAGUGGGGAAUAUUGGACAAUGGGCGAAAGCCUGAUCCAGCAAUGCCGCGUGUGUGAAGAAGGCCCUCGUUGGUUGUAAAGCACUUUCAGUGGGGAAGAAAAGCCGGCGGCCAAUACCUGCCGGCCCUGGCGUUACCCACAGAAGAAGCACCGGCUAACUCUGUGCCAGCAGCCGCGGUAAUACAGAGAGUGCGAGCGUUAAUCGGAAUUACUGGGCGUAAAGGGCGCGUAGGCGGUCCGGUAAGUUGGGUGUGAAAGCCUCGGGCUUAACCUGGGAAUUGCAUUCAAUACUGCCGGGCUGGAGUAUGGUAGAGGGAAGUGGAAUUCCGGGUGUAGCGGUGAAAUGCGUAGAUAUCCGGAGGAACACCAGUGGCGAAGGCGGCUUCCUGGACCAAUACUGACGCUGAGGCGCGAAAGCGUGGGGAGCAAACAGGAUUAGAUACCCUGGUAGUCCACGCCCUAAACGAUGAGAACUAGCCGUUGGGGACAUUCAAGUCCUUGGUGGCGCAGCUAACGCGAUAAGUUCUCCGCCUGGGGAGUACGACCGCAGGGUUAAAACUCAAAGGAAUUGACGG